rnacentral:rRNA from 1 species
CCUACGGGAGGCGGCAGUAAGGAAUAUUGGUCAAUGGGCGCAAGCCUGAACCAGCCAUGCCGCGUGCAGGAAGACGGCCCUAUGGGUUGUAAACUGCUUUUGAACAAGAGAAAACCUCGGUACGUGUACCGAGCUGAUAGUAUUGUUAGAAUAAGCAUCGGCUAACUUCGUGCCAGCAGCCGCGGUAAGACGAAGGAUGCAAGCGUUAUCCGGAUUCAUUGGGUUUAAAGGGUGCGUAGGCGGACCGAUAAGUCAGUGGUGAAAUCUCUCAGCUUAACUGAGAAACUGCCAUUGAUACUGUCAGUCUAGAGUAUAGAUGAUGUGGGCGGAAUAUGACAUGUAGUGGUGAAAUACUUAGAUAUGUCAUAGAACACCGAUUGCGAAGGCAGCUCACAAAACUAUAACUGACGCUGAGGCACGAAAGUGCGGGGAUCAAACAGGAUUAGAUACCCUGGUAGUCCGCACCGUAAACGAUGAUUACUCGUUGUUGGCAAUAUGACCGUCAGCGACCAAGCGAAAGCGAUAAGAAUCCACCUGGGGAGUACGCCGGNAACGGUGAAACUUAAAUGAAUUGACGGCGNGAGAGNGCGAGGACGACACGAGGGAGAG